UCGGGAGUUUUUUGCAAUGCACGAAAGUGUGACAGAGCGAGCCAGAGUGUUUUCCAAUUUGGAAAACUUUUGCCAACUGUAAAAAGGUUGGCGAAUAAGGACUGGGCAAGACCGGUGCCAGCCGCCGCGGUAAUCCCGGCGGUCCAAGUCGCAGCCACGUUUAUUGGGUCUAAAACAUCCGUAGCUUGUAAUGCAAGUCUCUUGUGAAAUCUUAAAUCUUAAGUUUAAGGCGAGCAAAAGAUACUGCAUUGCUAGAGACUGGGGGACGCAAGGAGUACAUCUAAGGUAGUGGUAAAAUACGUUAAUCUUGGAUGGACUAACAAUAGCGAAGGCACCUUGCGAUAACAGUUCUGACAGUGAGGGAUGAAGGCUAGGGGCGCAAAAUGG
rnacentral:rRNA from 1 species